CAGCGCCCUGUGAUCCCAUCACUUUCCCCACACAGGAGGCAUUCCGGGGACGCGUCAGACCUGAACCAAACACUAUACUCAGUUCGUCUAAGGGCUAUGGCACAGAAGCUGUCCUUGUCCCUUGGCCGCACACGGGGGAUGUCCACAGGCAUCUCCCAUUGGCUGACAGCAGGAUCCCGGAACAGAUAUAUUUCAGAAAGGAAAUAAAACGUGGCAGAACAUCUCCUAUCGUGAUGAAGCCCAGUGCCCAUGGGACUCUCCGGGCAGCGCGCAGUCUCUCAUGAUGGCAGCUGUUAUCAAGCUGGCUGGCGAUGGCCUCUCCCUGAAAUUAUUGGGAAAAUAAUUAGAAAUAUUGAGUCUGGGCUGGAGCCACAGGCUGGCAGAGCUUGUCCUGUGAGGUCACUGAAGGACAGCAGCCCCUGCUUCCAAGUCCCCGGCCCCAGCCCUGCCCAGGGCUCCAGCAGAGGUGGUUCCUGGGAGAAAGGAGCGAUAGGAUGCCAGCCAGGCCCCAGGAUGCUAAUGAUGCCAGCUG
rnacentral:lncRNA from 1 species